rnacentral:lncRNA from 1 species
UAUUUGCCACUGGACGUUAAGCAACCAACAAUCAGUGUUAAACUAACUGAUCAUGGUAACUGCAGUUACCACGAUCUCUAAAAUAGCGGGGAUAGAAAAUAUUCUAAAUAUUGAUGAUUCGAGGGAGAAUUUAUGCAAAGUUAUGACUUUUGCAUUACAGCAGAAAGACGAAUUGAAGGAAGAUACGGUGACAGAUGAACCUCUUAAGAAGAAAGCCAAAACGUUUGGAAACAAAUCAUUAGGGGUAAGUUUCGACUUAUUCGUUAUAGCAAAGGUUAAAGAGUCUCAUCAUCACUCGAUUUGAGGUAAGAAGUAGAGUAUGAUCGCUAUGUGGAUCAAACACACAUGCAUUGUCCAUUUAACUGAACAUUUCCUAGCUGCAUAUUGUAAAACGUUUUAGGGAUCACUGCUCUGAUGGAUUACGCUUGUAUCCAAAGUUGACAAGAAACCAUGUUGCAUGAAAAUGUCCUUUGCAGCUCGAAGUUUUAAGUUUCACUGUAGCAAAUGCUUUAGAAUUAGUGUACGGUGCAGAGACGGGCAAUACAGUUUGUUUAAUAAGACACAUGCUCAAGUUUUUUUUUUUUUUGCUUAAGCACUUGGGGUCUCUUUGAAGCUAGAAACGCCAGAAACGAAUUUGUAGCACCAUAUACCUCUGAAGAUGACCAAAAACUACAGGAUCUUGUAGGGGAUUUCUUGGAAUAUUUCAGUGAGUUGACACCCCAUGUAAAAUUUCAACAAAAUCCGAAAUAUCUAAAAAUGCAGCUAAGGUUACCCAGUUCUUCAAGGUUUAGAACUAACCAGUCAAAUCCGUUGUUGGAUGCGUUAAUAGUUAUCAAAGGUACCAGACUUAAAAUUGUACAGCAGGUGGGCGUUCCAUCUUCACAAGACAUAUCAGUGAUGUUAGCAAAUGGAACCCCUUAUUCUCUUACCGACCAUUUGAACCAAGAUCCCUUUGAACAAUAUUAAGGUAUACUAAUGACUUGUGGUGGAUGUCAUUGAUUGAUUGAUUGAUUGUUGGUUGCUUAACGUCCAGUGGCAAAUAUUUCAUGCAUAUUUAGGACGAGGACAAGUUCACAAUUAAUACAAUAGGUAGGUGGAUACGAUAGAGGCAUCUGGGAUGAUGGUCGGGGAAUUUGGACUGCCACUGGAAAAUGAGGGUAUAUUGGAUAGGGACAGAAAUUUUGCCUUGCAACAUUGCACGCAACACAGGCGACAGGAAAAUAAUUGUAAAUGCUAGUACUUAACUUUUAAAUUAUAAUUAGUAUCAUAACCCUCAGUCCUAAGUACCAAUUGUAAACUUUUGUUUAGUUUGGUUAAUCUUGACAGAAGGCAAUCAUCAAUUUGUGAAACAC